rnacentral:rRNA from 1 species
GAGUUUUGAUCAUGGCUCAGGAUGAACGCUAGCUACAGGCUUAACACAUGCAAGUCGAGGGGCAGCAUUUCAGUUUGCUUGCGAAACUGGAGAUGGCGACCGGCGCACGGGUGAGUAACACGUAUCCAACCUGCCGAUAACUCGGGGAUAGCCUUUCGAAAGAAAGAUUAAUACCCGAUGGUAUAAUCAGACCGCAUGGUCUUGUUAUUAAAGAAUUUCGGUUAUCGAUGGGGAUGCGUUCCAUUAGGCAGUUGGUGAGGUAACGGCUCACCAAACCUUCGAUGGAUAGGGGUUCUGAGAGGAAGGUCCCCCACAUUGGAACUGAGACACGGUCCAAACUCCUACGGGAGGCAGCA